GACGAACGCUGGCGGCGUGCUUAACACAUGCAAGUCGAGCGGUAAGGCCCUUUCGGGGGUACACGGGCGGCGAACGGGUGAGUAACACGUGGGUGACCUGCCCUUAGCUCUGGGAUAAGCCUGGGAAACUGGGUCUAAUACCGGAUAUGACUCCAUGACGCAUGUUGUGGGGUGGAAAGCCUUGUGCGGCUAGGGAUGGGCCCGCGGCCUAUCAGCUUGUUGGUGGGGUGAUGGCCUACCAAGGCGACGACGGGUAGCCGGCCUGAGAGGGCGACCGGCCACACUGGGACUGAGACACGGCCCAGACUCCUACGGGAGGCAGCAGUGGGGAAUCUUGCGCAAUGGGCGAAAGCCUGACGCAGCGACGCCGCGUGAGGGAUGACGGCCU
rnacentral:rRNA from 1 species